GCUGCCUUAGCUCAGUUGGUAGAGCACGUGAUUUGUAAUCUCGGGGUCGAGGGUCCGAGUCCUUCAGGCAGCU
rfam:Treponema berlinense strain ATCC BAA-909 genome assembly, contig: EI67DRAFT_scaffold00001.1